rnacentral:rRNA from 1 species
AUUGAACGCUGGCGGCAUGCCUUACACAUGCAAGUCGAACGACGUUACGGGGGCAACUCCGUAGCGAGUGGCGAACGGGUGAGUAAUGCAUCGGAACGUGCCCUCUUGUGGGGGAUAACCAGUCGAAAGAUUGGCUAAUACCGCAUGAGCUCGAGAGAGGAAAGCGGGGGAUCCGCAAGGACCUCGCGCGAGAGGAGCGGCCGAUGCCCGAUUAGCUAGUUGGNGGGGUAAAAGCCCACCAAGGCGACGAUCGGUAGCUGGUCUGAGAGGACGACCAGCCACACUGGGACUGAGACACGGCCCAGACUCCUACGGGAGCAGCAGUGGGGAAUUUUGGACAAUGGGGGCAACCCUGAUCCAGCCAUGCCGCGUGGUGUGAAGAAGG